AUGGUCAAGUUACUAAGAGCAUAUGGCGGAUGCCUUGGCGCUCAGAGGCGAUGAAGGACGUGGGUGGCUGCGAUAAGCCACGGGGAGGAGUUAACCAUCCCGUGAUCCGUGGAUCUCCGAAUGGGAAAACCCAAUACCGGACCAGGUCUCCUGGCACCGAGUAUUACUCUGAAUAAGAGAGCGAACCUGGGGAACUGAAACAUCUCAGUACCCAGAGGAAAAGAAAUCAAACGAGAAUCCCCUAGUAGCGGCGAGCGAAGCGGGACGAGCCUAAACCGUGUAUGUGUAAGUUUGCCGACGUUGCAUGCACGGCGUUGUGGGGCCUUAUUGGAGGAAUCGGCAAGUUCCUCGGAAAGUUACAAAUCGCUUUGAUAGUGGAACCGUCCUGGAAAGGCGGACCAUAGAGAGUGACAGUCUCGUACACGAAAUUGAAGCGACUUUCUGGAUAAGGUACCCGAGUACGGCGGGACACGUGGAAUCCUGCUGGAAUCUGGGAGGACCAUCUUCCAAGGCUAAAUACUACUGAGCGACCGAUAGUGAACUAGUACCGUGAGGGAAAGGUGAAAAGUACCCCCGAUAGGGGAGUGAAAUAGUACCUGAAACCGUAUGCUUACAAGCAGUUCGAGGGCUAUGGCCUUAUGGCAAUGCCUGAGAGCGUACCUUUUGCAUAAUGAGCCAACGAGUUGCUGCUCUGUAGCAAGGUUAAGUCGAAGGAGACGUAGCCGUAGCGAAAGCGAGUCUGAAUAGGGCGUUUAGUUGCAGGGCGCAGACCCGAAACCAGGUGAUCUAUCCAUGGGCAGGGUGAAACGUGGGUAAAACCACACGGAGGCCCGAACUCACCGGCGUUGAAAAGCCGGGAGAUGACCUGUGGAUAGGAGUGAAAGGCUAAUCAAACCUGGAGAUAGCUGGUUCUCCCCGAAACAUAUUGAGGUAUGGCCUCGGUGAAAUCAGGAGCGGCGGUAAAGCACUGGAUGGGCUAGGGGGCCUACAAGCUUACUAAACCCAACCAAACUCUGAAUUCCGUUCGCUGUUACACCGGGAGACAGUCCGCGGGUGAUAAGAUCCACGGGCGAGAGGGAAAGACCCCAGACCGCCAGCUAAGGUCCCAAAGCGCGCGCUAAGUGGUGAAGGAUGUGAAGUCGCGUAAACAACCAGGAGGUUGGCUUAGAAGCAGCCAUCCUUUAAAGAAAGCGUAACAGCUCACUGGUCGAACGUGAUUUUGCGCCGAAGAUUCAACGGGGCUAAGCGCGCCGCCGAAGCUGCGGAUUGCCGUUAUUUAUGUAACGGCACUGGUAGGGGAGCAUUGGAGUUACCGAUGAAGGUUGACCGAGAGGACAGCUGGAGGCCCUCCAAGAGAUUAUGUUGGCAUGAGUAGCGAUAAACCGGGUGAGAAACCCGGUCGCCGAAAACCCAAGGGUUCCCUGGCACGGGUAAUCCGCCAGGGGUUAGUCGGGCCCUAAGCCGAGGCCGAGAGGCGUAGGCGAUGGAAAACAGGUUAAUAUUCCUGUACCACUUCGAUGCGAAUGAAGCUAGAGGGGACGGAGAAGGGUAGGUACCGCCAGCGGAUGGAUGUGCUGGUUCAAGCAGGUAGGGGGUUCUUCCAGGAGGCAAAAUGCCACAAACGGAGGGACUUAACCCCGAGAUGUGAUGAGCUUAUCAAUGCUUCGGCUGCGAUAUGACGGGCUGAUCCCACGCUUCCAAGAAAAGCCUCGAGCGGACAAUUCGGGGUGCCCGUACCGUAAACCGACACAGGUGGGUCAGGUGAGUAACCUAAGGCGCUUGAGAGAAUCCUCCUUAAGGAACUCUGCAAAUUGCCACCGUAACUUCGGAAGAAGGUGGGCCUGGAAUCGUGUAGGGACUUGCUCCCGAAGCGAAGCUGGGCCGCAGAUAGCAGGGGGUAGCGACUGUUUACCAAAAACACAGCACUCUGCAAAGUCGUAAGACGACGUAUAGGGUGUGACGCCUGCCCGGUGCCGGAAGGUUAAGGGGAGAUGUUAGGGCAACCGAAGCAUUGAACCGAAGCCCCGGUAAACGGCGGCCGUAACUAUAACGGUCCUAAGGUAGCGAAAUUCCUUGUCGGGUAAGUUCCGACCUGCACGAAUGGCGUAACGACUUCCCCACUGUCUCGAGGAGGAACUCAGCGAAAUUGGAGUCUCGGUGCAGAUACCGAGUUCCCGCGGCAAGACGGCAAGACCCCGGAACCUUUACUGCAACUUGGCAGUGAGCAUUGCGUUUGCAUGUGUAGGAUAGGUGGGAGACGUUGAAGCAGGGGCGCUAGCCUCUGUGGAGUCAUCCUUGAAAUACCACCCUUGCACGCGCGGUGUUCUAACUCUCGUCAGUUAGCCUGGCGGAGGACAUUGCCUGGUGGGUAGUUUGACUGGGGCGGUCGCCUCCUAAAGUGUAACGGAGGCGUACAAAGGUUCCCUCAGCCUGAUUGGAAACCAGGCGUUGAGUGCAAAGGCAAAAGGGAGCUUGACUGCGAGACUUACAAGUCGAGCAGAUGCGAAAGCAGGUCUUAGUGAUCCGGUGGUCCCGCAUGGAAGGGCCAUCGCUCAUCGGCUAAAAGGUACUCUGGGGAUAACAGGCUGAUCACGCCUAAGAGUUCAUAUCGACGGCGUGGUUUGGCACCUCGAUGUCGGCCCAUCGCAUCCUGGGGCUGGAGCAGGUCCCAAGGGUCCGGCUGUUCGCCGGUUAAAGCGGUACGCGAGCUGGGUUCAGAACGUCGUGAGACAGUUCGGUCCCUAUCUGCCGCGGGUGUAGGAUUCUUGAGAGAAGCUGCCCUUAGUACGAGAGGACCAGGGUGGACGAACCUCUGGUGUACCGGUUGUCGCGCCAGCGGCACUGCCGGGUAGCUACGUUCGGAACGGAUAACCGCUGAAAGCAUCUAAGUGGGAAGCCGGUCUCAAAACUAGGAAUCCCGGACGUAAGUCCCUGAAGACCCCUCGGAGACUACGAGGUUGAUAGGCCACAGGUGUAAGCGUAGUAAUACGUUCAGCCGAGUGGUACUAAUAGGUCGUGAGACUUGACCAU
rnacentral:rRNA from 1 species